GAUGAACGCUGACAGAAUGCUUAACACAUGCAAGUCGAUGGGGAAGUGGUGCUUGCACCAUGGUAACCAUGGCGGACGGGUGAGUAACGCGUAAGGAACUUGCCUGCGGGACUGGGAUAACAGCAGGAAACUGCUGAUAAUACCGGAUAAGGUCAUUAAGCUGCAUAGCUUAGUGAUGAAAGGAGACGCCUGCGGAGAGCCUUGCGUCCUAUUAGCUAGUUGGAGGGGUAACGGCCCACCAAGGCGAAGAUGGGUAGCCGGCCUGAGAGGGUGGACGGCCACAAGGGGACUGAGAUACGGCCCUUACUCCUACGGGAGGCAGCAGUGGGGAAUAUUGGACAAUGGGGGCAACCCUGAUCCAGCAAUUCUGUGUGCACGAAGACGGUUUUCGGAUUGUAAAGUGCUUUCAGCAGGGAAGAAGGAAGUGACGGUACCUGCAGAAGAAGCGACGGCUAAAUACGUG
rnacentral:rRNA from 1 species